rnacentral:rRNA from 1 species
CGAAACCGAUAGCGAACAAGUACCGUGAGGGAAAGUUGAAAAGUACUCUGAAUAGAGAGUUAAAUAGUACGUGAAACCGCUUAGGGGUUAAGCCCGAUGAACCCGAAUAUCUGAUGUGAGAAAUUCAAUACUGUUCAUACAACGGAUAGUAUGCACUUUUCUCAUAGUAAGACAUUGUAAUCCAUUGAUGUUAUAUCUCUUUCAUUUAUUGGGAGAGAUGAUUUAACAUACGGACAAGAUGUAUAUGUUUAUUCUAUCAGUGAUGUGUUUACAUGUCAUAUGAAUAAGAUCGUUUUGUACCUGUUUAAAUAGUCGAUGGAUUUUAACUGAAUCAUGCUUGCAAUUUAUUUUGCGUUUCGUAUUGUCGGCCCCGCAACGGGUUGGUAGUAGCAGAAAUGGCAUGCAUUCGAUUAACAAUGCGAUAGAUUUGGGAUACUUUCAGGACCCGUCUUGA